ACGGGGUGCAGCAGGCGCGAAACCUUCACAAUCCGGGAAACCGGGAUGGGGUCACCCCGAGUGCCACGCCACCGCGUGGCUUUUGCUUAUCAGUAAGAAUGUAGGCGAAUAAGGGGAGGGCAAGGCUGGUGCCAGCCGCCGCGGUAAAACCAGCUCCUCAAGUGGUCGGGAUGAUUAUUGGGCCUAAAGCAUUCGUAGCCGGCCCGGCAAGUCCCUGGUUAAAUCCACCAGCUCAACUGGUGGGCCGCUAGGGAAACUACCGGGCUUGGGAGCGGAAGAGGCCGAGGGUACUCCUAGGGUAGGGGUGAAAUCCAGUGAUCCUAGGGGGACCACCAGUGGCGAAGGCGCUCGGCUGGAACGCGUCCGACGGUGAUGGAUGAAAGCCAGGGGAGCGAACCGGAUUAGAUACCCGGGUAGUCCUGGCCGUAAACGAUGCGGGCUAGGUGUCGGUCCGGCUACGAGCCGGAUCGGUGCCGAAGCGAAGGCGUUAAGCCCGCCGCCUGGGAAGUACGUCGCAAGGC
rnacentral:rRNA from 1 species